CCUAGCUACAUUCUGAAGCUGGAGUGUGGUCCUGUGACAUCAUUCUGACCAAGGAUGUAGGGAUUCAGUGGCAUGUCACUCUUGGCUCUUCUCUCAACAUGCCCUGGAUUUGUAUGCCUUCAUGUCUUGACUGAUUUUUUUUUUUCUUGAUCAUGGAGCCAGAAGUCUCAAAUUCAAGGUCUGCUGCCACCUUCAUAGUUGAGGUUCUUGGAAGUAUUGUUACUCCACCCCAAUCUGCAUGGACCCAACCACGUGGUAUCAUAGCGAAUCUAAAUUACUGGAGCAUUUGGAUGAGCCAUGGUGGUGGCCCCUCCUGUUUUAUUCCAGGAUUUCCUACCAUCAAGCCAACAAGACCCAGAUGUAAUUUCACUGAUGAGCAAGACAUCUCUGCCAACUGAAUUCCUAUUGAUUAGCAUCUGAUUUUGUUUGUCAGCAAAAAGAAAAACGUAUUAUUUAAUGUCACGUUUGGUACAUAACCAGCGGGUUUAAGUGGUGGGAGGGAAGGGUGUGGAUGCAGGGGUCUCUUUCAGAAACUGAUGAAAUUAUAUUAAUGUGUAUGAUCAUUUCUGCUCUCAACCAAAUAAAUAACAUUCGUCAUCUUAAAGCAACCAACGUCUUGCCCUGAAGAUGAAAGGACUCAUUGGCUUGCUGUCAUUCUUCAUAGUUAGAAGCUAUCAUGGCCUGGGAUGGGGUAUGUGAUGUGCUGACUGUGGGUCCAAUGUCACUCACUCUCCAUCCGGCUUCCUGACUC
rnacentral:lncRNA from 1 species